AUCCUACGGGAGGCAGCAGUGGGGAAUAUUGCACAAUGGGGGAAACCCUGAUGCAGCGACGCCGCGUGAGCGAAGAAGUAUUUCGGUAUGUAAAGCUCUAUCAGCAGGGAAGAAAAAAAUGACGGUACCUGAGUAAGAAGCACCGGCUAAAUACGUGCCAGCAGCCGCGGUAAUACGUAUGGUGCAAGCGUUAUCCGGAUUUACUGGGUGUAAAGGGAGCGUAGGCGGCGCGUUACGUCUGAUGUGAAAACCCGAGGCUCAACAACGGGAGUGCAUUGGA
rnacentral:rRNA from 1 species